GUGACUGUACAAAUCGUUUGGCUAAAACUAACCAUAUAGUGCAACCUUCCUUGCAGAAAACAGGUUUGAAGAACAUACAUGAGCCAAUCAACAACAAAGAAUCUAUCCAUGAAGAACGAAGGUUACAAAUCGAGGAGCUAGAUGAAUGGUAGACACAUAAACCGAGAAAAUACGAUAAACCAAAACUACGCCAUGAGAAGCUUAAUUCCUCCAAAAAUCAACUUAAAGUUGGAGACAAA
rnacentral:lncRNA from 1 species